AUAAUGAUCACUUGAUUUUCAUUGUUUCUCGUGAUAUUUAUUUCCCCCUUCAUUUGUUGAAACAGAACUUAAGCAGAAAGCUGGUCCACAUAUUGUCUGGUCUGCUUUUUAUGGCUUCCUGGCCGAUUUUCAGCGUAUCAGGACGGGCUCGCUACUUUGCUGCUGUAGUUCCACUUACAAACUGCUUGAGACUUGUGAUUCAUGGCCUAUCUUUGGCUACUGAUGAGGGGCUUGUUAAAUCUGUUACUAGGGAAGGAAAGCCAGAAGAAUUG
rnacentral:misc_RNA from 1 species